rnacentral:rRNA from 1 species
UACGUAGGGUGCAAGCGUUAAUCGGAAUUACUGGGCGUAAAGCGUGCGCAGGCGGUUAUGUAAGACAGAUGUGAAAUCCCCGGGCUCAACCUGGGAACUGCAUUUGUGACUGCAUAGCUAGAGUACGGUAGAGGGGGAUGGAAUUCCGCGUGUAGCAGUGAAAUGCGUAGAUAUGCGGAGGAACACCGAUGGCGAAGGCAAUCCCCUGGACCUGUACUGACGCUCAUGCACGAAAGCGUGGGGAGCAAACAGG